AAAUACAGUGUUAUUUAAUCAGCCUGCAACAUUCAACACAAUAUGUUGCAGAGCACGCCACAUACCUUAACCGGAAACAGCAGUGGAAAACGGGGGGCUACUUCACUCUAUUUAACACCAAAUGCAGACACAACGGGCAUGUGUGUGGCAGGGGGCAUGGCUGGCUUCUUCUGCAGCAAACAAGGAACACCUGCUUCCACUCACCUCAUCAACCUGCCCCUAAAGGCCUGGUCUUCACUCUGCUGCUCUCUGCAGAUAAUUCUGUCCUGUUAGGAAGUUGCUCUGUUAUCCUGUGUGCCUGGCUGAUUGCCUACAUUGUGUCUUGAGUGCAGAGUUUUUCCGCCAUGCAUUUAGCACUCAUGCCUUGCCUGGGAUUUCUACCAGGCAGCCUGUC